GUGGCUAUAGCUCAACUGGUUAGAGCACUUGACUGUGGCUCAAGAGGUUGCGGGUUCGAUUCCCGUUAGCCACC
rnacentral:tRNA from 1 species